GAGGUUGUGGCUCAGUGGUAAAGUGCUCACCUAGCACGUGUGAAGCACUGGGUUUGAUCCUCAGCACCACA
rnacentral:tRNA from 1 species